rnacentral:rRNA from 1 species
CAGCAGCCGCGGUAAUACGAAGGGUGCAAGCGUUACUCGGAAUUACUGGGCGUAAAGCGUGCGUAGGUGGUGGUUUAAGUCCGUUGUGAAAGCCCUGGGCUCAACCUGGGAAUUGCAGUGGAUACUGGGUCACUAGAGUGUGGUAGAGGAUAGUGGAACUUCCGGUGUAGCAGUGAAAUACGUAGAGAUCGGAAGGAACAUCUGUGGCGAAGGCGACUAUCUGGGCCAACACUGACACUGAGGCACAAAAGCGUGGGGAGCAAACAGGAUUAGAUACCCCAGUAGUCCCUGUCUCUUAUAC